rfam:Brassica napus, WGS project CCCW01000000 data, contig: 8534
GAAAGCUGUGUGCAAUGAAAAAUGCAAGCACGGUUUGGGGAGGGGUUUUUUACUUUUUUUUCAUUUUAACAAGGAAAUUAUCUACUCCAU